AUCCAGCUAACGGGUCCUAAUCAGGACGUAACGCGCGUCCUGUAU
rnacentral:hammerhead_ribozyme from 1 species